GGUAGUACCAAAUAUUCUAAUGAGAACUUUGAAGGGUGAAAAGGGUUAGUCGAUCCAAUUGGUCGAGGGAACCCAAAUAGAUAAUGCAUUUCGCGCGUACCCCGAAAGGGAAUCGGGUUAAGAUUCCUUAACCGGGACGUGAUGGUUGACAACAACAUUAGGAAGUCGGCAGAUGUCGGUAGGAGCCUCGGGAAGAGUUGUCUUUUCUAUUUACCAGCAUGCCCAGCAUGGAAUGGGCCCUGCCGGAGGUAGGGUCCAACGGCUGGAAGAGCACCACACAUCACGUGGUGUCCGGUGCGCUCCCGGCGACCCUUUAAAAUCUAGAGGACCGAACGUUGUCCACGCUCGGUCGUACUCAUAACCGCAUCAGGUCUCCAAAGUGAACAACCUCUAAUU
rnacentral:rRNA from 1 species